rnacentral:tRNA from 1 species
GGGAGCUUAGUUAAGUGGCAUAACGGGCGUCUCCAAAACGCCGGUCGGGGGUUCGAUUCCCUCAGCUCCCGCAA